GUGGAUUUCAGUCUGUUGUUUGUACUUGAAAAAGGAAAUAUUUCUUAAGAUUAUUUAUUGUUGUUCUUCUACCUGGUGUAGCAAUCCUCUGCAUUUAGGAUUUAUCUCAUGUGAGUUUGAUCUUUCUUCUUUUUUCUUUGUCCAAGAGGCAAAACUUAUCCACUUGUCCUCUCAAAGGGAGUGCUAUUGCACAUCUUAGGUGCAGUCUAUUUCUUGUCUGCAAUUCAGCCUUAUUUUCAUAAUACACCCCAACAGAUUAGAUUAUUAUGUAAUUUUCUACUGGGUUUUGAAGCAAUUUGGCUUAGAUGGAAGCUUAGCAAUGAAUUAUUCUUUACUCCCUUUAAUACAUGACUGUUUCCUUGGGAGUGAUGCUUAUCACCAUAUGUAUCUGUCUCUGACCAUAUGCUACAGAGAUAGUACAGUGUUGAUGAUUGCAUUGAAGGACAGGGAUGGUUGGGAAAGUGAAGAACUCAGGUUUCACAGGCAGAGACUGAAAAAAAAAGGGAAGGGAAAGGAAGCCAUUCAGAAAAAAACAAAAUAAGAAAAAUCAAGAAAUGUAAAAUGGGAGAAUGGAAAAACAGCCAGUCUAUCUCUGCCCAGCCUCCUUCCAGUCUGUUCAACUUCAAAAAAUAAAAUUACAAAUCUAGGUACAGAACGUAUUCACCAUAUUUCCCAUGUGUGUUAUUGCAUGUAUUGUAUUUCUAAUCAUUUCAUUUAGCUCCACUCAUGUAUUUUUUCCUGCCUGAAGGGAGAAAAAUCAUCCAAAUUUAGGUCAGUUUUAUAGUUUUAUUCACUGAAAUAUUAGUUAAAUGAGAGGAAGUGCAGCAACAUGGUUAGUAGUGCCAUGCAAAAGAGCUAUUUCUCUUUAUAUUCACUAUUAGAUGAGAUAAUUUGAGGGUAAAAUGCCAGCAAUCCUAAGGUGAGUACUUAUUAAGCUGAGGCUGAGCAAAGCACUAAUAACAUAUGUGAGCUUGCUAAAUACUACCUCGGCUAUAAGAUCCACUUCCUCUGUGAUUUAAACAGAAGGUUGUGCAGGCACGACUCUAGCAAUAUUCUGCAAUGUUCAAAUUUCUUGGAUGUGUUUGGGUGGGUAGGGUAAAGGUAUCGGUGGCUUCAUUUAUCAUACCAGUCAUUGAGGCAGUUAAUUUUAGAUUAUUGUCUUGCAUAGCCACACCGUAAAACCUGAACAAUAAAAUCAGGUAGAAAUGGAUGCAGUCAUUGCGUUCUUUUGGUGAUCCCGAGAGUUUCUCAAAUGUAUUUCCAUUUGUCAUAGAUAAGUCUACUCUAUUUUGAACUAUAUUAUACACCGAUUUUGAAAAGACCUUCAUUUCCUUCAGCCAGCAAAACCAAACAUUAGAGUAAGAAUAGUUAUGAAUGUAACCUUCAUUUAAUGUAACUUCAUGUAAGAAUUGAGAGAUUCAUGAUUUUUUCAUAAAUCCCAAUGUUUUUGUGGAGGUUUCUUUCUUUAUUCGGUAGUGUGUUGAAAGGGGUGAAAAAUGAGAGUUUUUGUCCAUGAGGUUUACUUUGAUUGCGUACAUUUAGAUUCUGUAUUCUUAUCGGAGAAUCAUAGGUAUUCUCAAAUUCUUUGUUUAAACUUGACCAGUCCUUUAGGGGCAUUAAAUUUGGCAUGUAAGCUUCCUUCCACAGACUGAGGAAAGUUUACUUCUACAGAGAGUAGCAAACCUUGAUUAGAUCUAGCUCCUCUACCAUAUGGACAAGGUACCUGUGUUUCACACUGGGACACUAAAAUAAGUCACGUGACUUUUACAGCUGAGUUCAACGGUUCAGUCACUUCAAGAUCCCAAACUAAAGACUAGAGAAGUUAAAGCAUUUCAUUAAUUUCAGAAAUAUUUGGUUAUUCUUAGUUAGCGAAAAACUAGCCAUUCACAACUGAGUACUGUAGCCUGGAAAUAUCUUUUUCUUAUAUUAACAAACUUGAGGUACUGUUGAAAGAUCAAGAUCCUUUCCAAAUGAAACAGAAACCUUGAAUCCCUGUUAGCCUACUGAGUAAAUUAUCUCAUUCUUUAUAUUUUGACUAUCACUUUUUAUUUUCACUUUGUUCUUCCUGGGACUUUUAUAACCUGUUUUGCAGAUUGAUAUUAUUUCUUCCUCUCGUGCCAAUCUGUCCACACAUGUGCUUAUUUUAGCUACAUUUCCUUUCACCCUGCUGGCUCCUGUAUAUUCUCACCACACCCCAGGCAUGUAUCCUUCAAGAAGAUUUACAAUGCGAGCCAUUUUGAAUACCUUCAAAACAGUGAUAUAAGAAAAUUGGAUUCCUACCUUUUGUGGAAAGAAAGGCAGCCUGCACAUCUGGGCCAGAUGGAGCCAGAAGGUACCACCUGACACACCGGAAGGGGUAACCAGAAGCUGUGGGCAUGCUAGGGCAUCACCUGUGGGACGAGUGGAAGCACAUUUACAUAUGCAGAAACUUUAUAUGUGGCCUUGUAUAAAUAGAUUCUCUAGAGCUCAGGAGAAGAGCACCUGAGGCCCUGCUGCUGUGCCACUUGCUCAGGGAGGGCAGUGUGGCAAGGGAGGGUGGGGCAAAGCCAGGCAAAGAACUGACUGCAGAUGCUGAGGGAGAAGGACAAGCCAUGCUGAAGCUUCAGAUUAGAAGACUUUUACUACACGCAUCUGGUGCUUCCUCUUCCCAGUGCACAUUUGCACUCCCUAUUGGGUUACUGGGGAUGCUGGAGGCAGGCCUCCAGGCCUCACCUUGGGCGAUGUGUUCCAUCCUGUAACUCUAGCAUAUGAAAGUAAUUGGCUGCCACACUUUCUACUGUCAAGCUUCAUACAGCAUUCAAAGCUUUUAUACCAGUAGCUGUUUCCAAAAAGUGUUGAUGUUUAUGGAGAGUUAAUUAUACUGGAAAUACAAGAGAUGCUCUUUGUUGCAGAUGGAUGUGAAUUCUUCUCUCUGCUCAAGAAAGAGGUGCCUGCGUUUUGUUGUAUAUAAAGAUAGCUAUGUCCUUAUUUCUCCACAAUUGCUGAUAAAGUUUUAUUUAUGUAUAUAAUUUAUAUUUAAAAUAAAUUAGUUAAUAAAGCAGUUUAACCUACAGUAUUGAUCUCUAUCAAUGACAAACAAGCAGUCACGUCUCCUUAUGGUAAAAAGAGAAAAAUUCAGCUUUGUCUUAUUAGCAGACUGUCUGCCCAUAUCUAAACGCUUGGAGCAGACUCUGAAAUUGAAAAGCAUAACUCCAAAAAAUUGAAUGACAGCACAUCUAUUUUAUGUGCUGAAGAAAAAUGGAAAUUAACUUAAAACAGCUGAAAUCUCUUCUAACAAGGAAUCGUUGACAACUAUUCAAGCAGUAGGGGUUGCGUGUAUAACAGUAUGUGAUGUAAUUGCCUUGAAUUUUAAAAACUGCUGCUACUUUCACAAAGAUGAUUUUGUUUCCUCCCUUUAGUAAAAAUG